UGGGACAACUUGGUGAUUUGAAGGGACAAGUGAAUGCACUGAGAGAGAAGGUGAAGGUGGAGGGCAGUUCCUACCUGUCGUAUGUGUCUCAGGUGUCGUCGUCAAUCUUGGACUUGAUCUUCCAGAUACAAGACGAGAACACAAGCAAGAGGAAGGAGGAGGAGGAAGAGGAGAGGAAGAGAUCGGACAGCCUUCACCAGCAGCUGACAGAGACCCAACACAAGCUGGCAGACACUCAACACAAGCUGGCAGACACACAACACAAGCUGGCAGACACUCAACACAAGCUGGCGGACACACACAGACUGGCUGAUGUUUAUAAAGGCCAGUUGGAAGAUGCUCACAGGGAGAUAGAAGUAUAUAUGGACCAAUUGCAUAGACAAGAACAAAGCCUACAGCAAGCAGGAACAGAAGCAGAGGAGGCAAGACAGAAGAUGGAGGAGGAGAGGAAGAAGGAGGUGGAGGAGGUGGAGGAAAGGUGGAGAGAGAAGAUGAAGCAAGCUACUCUAGAACAUGAACUGGAGAUGGAAGAGUUAAGACAGCAGUUAGGAACAGUGAAGGAGACGCUGGUGGCCAGCCUGGAGGGAAGAGUGGAGGAGAAAAGUAAGGGAGCAACUUCAACAAGAAAAAGAAAGAAUUGUAAAGAUUUUGGAAACGAGUUUUGUAGAGAGGGAAAGAAAUGCACUGGAAAUAUUGAAGGCAGAGCUACUGGAAAAGUUGAGGCAGGAGAAGGAGGAAGCAGUGGAAGAAGAAGGGAACAAGAUCAGAGCUGAGUGGAAGAAAGAUUUGCAUAGGAAAGAAGAAGAAAAGAAGAGAGAAAGACAAGAAUUUCUGGAGAAUGAGAGGAGGCACUGGGAGAAGGAGAAGGAAGAGGAAGUGCAGAGGAAACUUGCUCUUGUGGUGGAGGAAGGCCGAAGGGAACUGGAGGAGGAGAGAAAGAGGGC